GUGAAAUAUUGCAAUUUAUUUUCAUCAUUUUUAGAUUACCUGGAAAUAGUCGAACAGAAGAUUUACGGAAUAAAGUAAAAAAAGUUAAAGAAUUAUGCGACGAAUAUGCAAAAACUGAACAGGGAAAAAAGAUGGAAAAGUUAUUUAAAGAGAUUGAUGCAGAGACUAUAACUGAAGAAGAGCUAAACGAGCUUUUGGAUCAGAUUACUCGAAAAAAAGACUAACAACAGAAUUCGGAUAGCUAAGAAAAGAUUCGAGUUAUUUGUUAAAUUAUUUGAAAUAUGUCAUUGACUAUUUAAAAUAUCUGUAAAAGCGAUAUGUCGAUGUAUUACAAAUAAUACAAACAAAGCCUCAAAGCAAUAAAAAUUUACUUUCAUAAAUCGA